rnacentral:siRNA from 1 species
UUAACGUUUUUUUGGAUAUUCAGU